rnacentral:rRNA from 1 species
AGUGAACGCUGGCGGUAGGCCUAACACAUGCAAGUCGAACGGCAGCACAGGAGAGCUUGCUCUCUGGGUGGCGAGUGGCGGACGGGUGAGGAAUACGUCGGAAUCUACUUUUUCGUGGGGGAUAACGUAGGGAAACUUACGCUAAUACCGCAUACGACCUACGGGUGAAAGCAGGGGACCGUCGGGCCUUGCGCGAUUGAAUGAGCCGAUGUCGGAUUAGCUAGUUGGCGGGGUAAAGGCCCACCAAGGCGACGAUCCGUAGCUGGUCGGAGAGGAUGAUCAGCCAAACUGGAACUGAGACACGGUCCAAACUCCUACGGGAGGCAGCAGUGGGGAAUAUUGGACAAUGGGCGCAAGCCUGAUCCAGCCAUACCGCGUGGGUGAAGAAGGCCUUCGGGUUGUAAAGCCCUUUUGUUGGGAAAGAAAUCCAGCUGGCUAAUACCCGGUUGGGAUGACGGUACCCAAAGAAUAAGCACCGGCUAACUCCGUGCCAGCAGCCGCCGUAA